rnacentral:rRNA from 1 species
UACGUAGGGGGCUAGCGUUGUCCGGAAUCAUUGGGCGUAAAGAGCGUGUAGGCGGCCCGGUAAGUCCGCUGUAAAAGUCAAAGGCUCAACCCUUUGAAUGUCAGUGGAUACUGCCGGGCUAGAGUCCGGAAGAGGCGAGUGGAACCUCCGUGGUGUAGCGGUGGAAUGCGCAGAUAUCAGGAAGAACACCGGUGGCGAAGGCGGUUCUCUGGGCAUACCUGACGCUGAGGAGCGGAAAGUGUGGGAGGCGAACAGG